UGCAGGAUUCCAGCCAGAGGACUGCUGCUGCUGCUGCUGGUGAUGAUGAUGUCUGUCCCAUGGACUGGCAAUCUGCAGGGGACCAGGACCAAGAGGAACCGAUGGACUGGGAACCUGCAGGGACUCUGAGUUCACCCUCAGCCAGCUCCUCUCUUUACAACCACAUAUCGAUGUCGAUCAGUGUCGGUGAAACUGUGACAUUUGCACUCGGCUGCAGAAUCUCCUGAAGAUCAGAGACCGUAAAGAGAGCAGGUGGAUCAAGUGCGGACCCAACAACUUCAACAACUUCCG